ACAUUUUCAGUUUGAACUGAAGGAAGAUUUGUGUGUUUCAGCUAAUAAUCCAGCAAAUCCAAGCGAGUAAGCAGCUGCAAUCCAGCCAGAAGUUUGUUGCUGUCUUGGAGUACAUUUUAGCCAUUGGGAACCAUUUAAAUGAAAAGGCUGGAAAAGAGAAGGCUAAAGGAUUUCGAUUGUUGUCUUUGACCAAAUUGCCUCUGUUGCGGGGUAAGGAAAGGACGUUCACCUUGCUUCAUGCCCUUGUGGAACAGAUCUUCUUACAUGAGCCUGAUUUGGCUAAAUUUUCUCAGGAGUUGACAGAAUUUGAAGCUGUUCCUGAUGGUAAGAGAAGGGAGGGGAAAAAAAUCAACAAAUAAAAAAAAUGAAGUCCUUCAACUUUUGUGGAAACUCCCAUCCUCACAAUAUGAUUCUUAUUAGCAUUAUUUUCCCUCUCUUCCUUUCCAGCUUCCAUAAAGGGCCUCAGUGCUGAAGUUGAUGUUUUAAAAAAAGAAUUGGAAAAUGUUAUUCAGUGCAGGCGGCUUAUUAAACCCAAGACAAUCAAAGCAACACCCCAGGAGUCACAGUUCUGCAAGGAACUAAAGGAUUUAAUUCAGAAAUAUGAAGGGGAUCUAUCCCAGCUGUCAAAAAGAUGUGAUGAAAUGAAGAAGCUUUAUAGCAACAUACUGGUAAAAUUUGGGGAGCCGCAAGAUGUAGACUCUCAGGAACUAUUUGGAUGGAUAUCUUCAUUCAUUAGUGAGUUUAGGAAAGCCUGUGCUGAAGUCACGCCAUAAGGACAAUACAAAUCUUACAAAGAGGUGAGGGAAACAGAAGCCCAGAAAACAAUAUUUAAGUUAAUUGGUUUAAAAGUUUUUCUACUAAUAAGUAGGACAUAGACCAUAUAUAGUCUGUACUGCAGUAUACCUUGAUUUUUAAGGGACAUUCAGUUUAUAAUACGUAAUUUGUAAGUGGUAUUUGACUUGUAGGAUCACAGACCACUUCUGAACCUCUCCCUUAUUUUUUCUGGUGUAUGUGCUGUUGUACCUUGAGAUGCCUGUAUAUUUAGAAAGGAGACCUUUUUGACGUUUUAUAAUUUCUCUUUUUAAUCUUUUCCUUUGAUACCCAGUCUGCUGACUGAGUUUUAACUAUUACUUUCAGUGCAUAAGUUUCUGCAUGGUAAUCUAAUUUUCAAUUUUUUUUUGGUGUAGUUUUCUAAAUAAUACUUCUGAAGUUUUAUAAUGAAAUGGAAAGCUGUUACCCACAGAGGACAAUAUUUAGCAAAAAUUCUUAUGUGUCAUUCUGCUAUUAAAGCAGCCUCAGCAUGUAAUGGAGAAAGUGUCUAGCUGGGUGUUGUUUUUUUUUUUUUUUUUACCCCAGAAGUAGUACCAUAAAAUAGUGCUUUUUAUGGCUAAUGUCAUGUAUUCAGGUAAAAUACUAUAGAAUUCAAUCAAUAUGUGAGAUUUGCAUUGACAGGAAGAGAAAAAUAUCAGAGAAGCAAAAUAAAAACGUGUCGUGAAGCA
rnacentral:lncRNA from 1 species